GGCUGGAAGGACACUGCUCCAACAAAGACUGGAAGGACGUUUUCUCCUUGUUCCAAAAAACAUUCUACUCUACCCAGGAGACACGAACUUGUGGAUUCACCUUGAGAAUUUAACGCUUCGUGUUAGUGUGCUCUACUCCAGCAUCCUCCUUCGAGAUGCCAACACCCUUUGAGCAGCAACAUAUGCAGGAUGCAUAAACCCAAGCCCUUAUUCAUCUUCUUCCACAAAAAUGGAACUGUAAAGCUACAAGGAGGGCUUCAAGGAGUGAUCGCAUGGGAACAGCAAAUAGAUAAGGAACUUAACAUGGGCCGAUAAUAUUAAGACAUCAACUGCUAGACCUCAAGGUGAACUAUUCUCAGACCUCCAAGAGAAAUGCAUACAACACACUUGGAGCAUUUAAAGGAUAAAAGAAUUCCAUUAGACUGG